rnacentral:lncRNA from 1 species
GGGAGAGGAGGAGGAGGGAGGGCAAAUCAGUCAUUGUUUGAUGAGGACAAAAAUUUAGCCCAUGGAUCCAAACACCCCAGCAAAACUAAAUUUUAGGGCUAAAUUUUAGUAGCUAAAUUUUAGUUCGUGAACUUUGGAUCCAAACACCACCUUAGCACCUUAACUGUAUUAUACAUGUAUAUACCUUAACUAUAUUAUACAUAUAUACCUCUAAGAACUACUAAAAUUUUUUCCAAAAAUGUUGGGUAUGCCUGGGAAUACCCAGGCACAACAAUGGGUCCGCCCCUGCUCCUCCUGCGCCGGCAGCUUGCUGCGGCCAUGGGCGCGCCCCGCAUGCUCGGUAAAAUUGGAG